AGCUUGUUGACAUUUAAUAACAGGUAAAUCCUGCCCGGUGCUUUUAGUUAACGGCCGCGGUACUCUGACCGUGCAAAGGUAGCAUAAUCAUUUGCCUUUUUAUUGGGGGCUGGCAUGAAUGGAAUGACGUAAUUUAAGCUGUCUUUUUUUUAAAAUUGAAAUUUGCUGUUUUUGUGAAGAAGCAAAAAUGUAAAAAAAAGACAAGAAGACCCUAUUAAGCUUUACUCGAAAGUUUUAAUAUGUUGUACUUAUGGUUUGUAUUAAAUAAUUAUUAAAUGAAGAGUUUGGUUGGGGUGACCAAAGAAGAAAAAGAUCUUCUUUUAUUUUAUUAGACUUUUGAGUCUAAAUAUAAUUAAGUGGGCCAGAAUUUUCUGAUAAAAAGAACAAGUUACUAUAGGGAUAACAGCGUAAUUUUUUCAGAGAGUUCAUAUUGAAGAAAAAGAUUGCGACCUCGAUGUUGACUUGUUGUCUCCUCUUAUAAUUCUAUGUAGGUG
rnacentral:rRNA from 1 species